GAGGUUGUAGCUCAGCUGGAUAGACCUGCCUGCCGGCAGGCAGGGCAUCUCACUCCUAACGAGAAGGUCGGCGGUUCGAAUCCGCCCAACCUCA
rnacentral:tRNA from 1 species